rnacentral:rRNA from 1 species
AGAAUCAACGCUGGCGGCGUGCCUAACACAUGCAAGUCGCACGAGAAAGGGGACUUCGGUUCCUGAGUAAAGUGGCGCACGGGUGAGUAACACGUGAAUCAUCUACCUUCGAGUGGGGAAUAACUGAGAGAAAUCUUAGCUAAUACCGCAUAAUACCUACGGGUCAAAGCAGCAAUGCGCUUGAAGAGGAGUUCGCGGCAGAUUAGUUAGUUGGCAGGGUAAUGGCCUACCAAGACGGUGAUCUGUA